AACUUUUAACAACGGAUCUCUUGGCUUUCGCAUCGAUGAAGAACGCCGCGAAAGUGCGAAACGUAAUGUGAAUUGCAGAAUUCAGUGAAUCAUCGAAUCUUUGAACGCACCUUGCGCUCCUUGGUAUUCCGAGGAGCAUGCCUGUUUGAGUGUCGUGAACCCUCUCAAGCUCGCUCCUUUGCUGGGGCGGGUUUGGAUUUGGACGCCUGCGGCCGAAAAGGCCCGCUCGUCUUUAAAUGCAUUUAGCCGGGUCCCUAUGGUCAGGUCCAAGCGACGGUGUGAUAAACAUACGCUUAGUGCGCCGUUCGUCGCCGGCCGUGGGGGGUUGCUUACAGUCGUCUUUGGACAAGCCUUUCAUGUCAUCUGACCUCAAAUCAGGUAGGACUACCCGCUGAACUUAAGCAUAUCAAUAAGCGGAGGCU
rnacentral:misc_RNA from 1 species